AUUGAACGCUGGCGGCAUGCCUUACACAUGCAAGUCGAACGGCAGCGCGGGGGCAACCCUGGCGGCGAGUGGCGAACGGGUGAGUAAUAUAUCGGAACAUACCCUAGAAUGGGGGAUAACGUAGCGAAAGUUACGCUAAUACCGCAUACGCACUAAGGUGGAAAGCGGGGGAUCGCAAGACCUCGUGCUCAUGGAGUGGCCGAUAUCUGAUUAGCUAGUUGGUAGGGUAAAAGCCUACCAAGGCGACGAUCAGUAGCUGGUUUGAGAGAACGACCAGCCACACUGGAACUGAGACACGGUCCAGACUCCUACGGGAGGCAGCAGUGGGGAAUUUUGGACAAUGGGGGGCAACCCUGAUCCAGCAAUGCCGCGUGAGUGAAGAAGGCCCUCGGGUUGUAAAGCUCUUUUGUCAGGGAGAAACGGUGAGUUCUAAUAAGCUUGCUAAUGACGGUACCUGAAGAAUAAGCACCGGCUAACUACGUGCCAGCAGCCGCGGUAA
rnacentral:rRNA from 1 species